GACGAACGCUGGCGGCGUGCUUAACACAUGCAAGUCGAACGCUGAAGCUCAGCUUUUGUUGGGUGGAUGAGUGGCGAACGGGUGAGUAACACGUGAGUAACCUGCCCCCUUCUUUGGGAUAACGCCCGGAAACGGGUGCUAAUACUGGAUAUUCACUGGUCUUCGCAUGGGGGUUGGUGGAAAGGGUUUUUCUGGUGGGGGAUGGGCUCGCGGCCUAUCAGCUUGUUGGUGGGGUGAUGGCCUACCAAGGCUUUGACGGGUAGCCGGCCUGAGAGGGUGACCGGUCACAUUGGGACUGAGAUACGGCCCAGACUCCUACGGGAGGCAGCAGUGGGGAAUAUUGCACAAUGGGCGCAAGCCUGAUGCAGCGACGCCGCGUGAGAGAUGGAGGCCUUCGGGUUGUGAACCUCUUUCGCUCAUGGUCAAGCCGCAACAAUGGUUGUGGUGAGGGUAGUGGGUAAAGAAGCGCCGGCUAACUACGU
rnacentral:rRNA from 1 species